rnacentral:rRNA from 1 species
UACGAAGGGGGCUAGCGUUGCUCGGAAUUACUGGGCGUAAAGGGCGCGUAGGCGGACAGUUUAGUCAGAGGUGAAAGCCCAGGGCUCAACCCUGGAAUUGCCUUUGAUACUGAUUGUCUUGAGUAUGGGAGAGGUGAGUGGAACUCCGAGUGUAGAGGUGAAAUUCGUAGAUAUUCGGAAGAACACCAGUGGCGAAGGCGACUCACUGGCCCAUUACUGACGCUGAGGCUCGAAAGCGUGGGGAGCAAACAGG